CAGUCGCCACGGGAAUACGGAGGGUGCAAGCGUUAAUCGGAAUUACUGGGCGUAAAGCGUGCGUAGGCGGUUCGUUAAGUCUGUUGUGAAAGCCCCGGGCUCAACCUGGGAAUGGCAAUGGAUACUGGCGAGCUAGAGUGUGUCAGAGGAUGGUGGAAUUCCCGGUGUAGCGGUGAAAUGCGUAGAGAUCGGGAGGAACAUCAGUGGCGAAGGCGGCCAUCUGGGACAACACUGACGCUGAGGCACGAAAGCGUGGGGAGCAGACAGGAUUAGAUACCCCCGUAGUCCCUGUCUCUUAUAC
rnacentral:rRNA from 1 species